UGGCCGGCAGCGGGAGACAAGGGCAGGCGACCGCUGGGCCCGGUGCUGCCCGCGCCACCAGCGCAUUCCUGGCAGUAGGCGUCACGAGCGCCGCGGUUGCUUGCGCUCACGUUACAAUCCCUCCAAGCGCUGAAUACACACGUAACUGCGUCGCUUCAGGGAUUUUCUCCCACCUCCCACUACUACCGCUGAGCUCCCAGCCUCUCCGACAACCAUCAGGUUAGAUCCCGGAGGGGCGCCCGUCGCGAGCCAGAAUGCACCUCUGUAAAAGACAACAAAAUAAGAACCAGCCAAGGAAAGCAAAUAAGUUUCUUGACUUCUUUUGAACGUGUGAGGACCAUUUGACUUGUCCACAUCCCAGAAGGCGGAACUACCUCUGCAAGUCCAAGAAAGCUGGUACUGACAAUGUUGUAGCUGAACCGGAUACACCCCAAUAGUCUCCAGCCUUGAGGAAGCAGCUCUACCUCUCUCUAUCUUGGACAAAAUGAAUUUUAAGAGAUCACCUUGAGUGUUUGUAAAUAGACAGACUUUGCCACUGUGUAUUUUUUUAAUGUUUAUUUACUUUUGAGAGAGACAGAGAGAGAGAGAGAGAGAAGGAGAGAGAGAGAGACAGAGACAUGAACAGAGGAGGGGCAGAGAGAGAGGGAGACACAGAAUCUGAAGCAGAAUCUGAAGCAGACACAGAAUGCUUCAGAUUCUGUGUCUCCCUCCGAGCUGUCAGCACAGAGCCCGACGAGGGGCUUGCACUCACGGACUGCGAAAUCAUGACCUGAGCCAAAGUCGGAUGCUUAACCAACUGAGCCACCCAAUUGCCCUGCCAUUGAUUGGUUUAAAAUUACUCAUUUGGUUUACAUUAUGUGAAUAUUAAUUCCACAUAGUUUUAUGGUAAUUAGAGCUAUACCAGGGCCAGAACUUCCUUCUUGCAACCCAAUAAAGUGAUUUUUUUUAGAGUUACAUGCCGCGAUUUCCAAACAGUCAAGCACUCUAGACAGACCAGCACUACAGCUAUUCUGAAGACUCCCUUGGAAAUCUGUGGCAUAUUUUAUUCAUUUCUGUGCACUUUUAAUAGAUAUGGAAAGUGUCUUAGUCAGCUUGGGCUGCCAUAACAAAAUACCACAGACUACAUGACUUACACAACAGAAAUUUAUUUUCUUGUAGUUCUGGAGACUGGAAAGUCUAAGGUUAAGAUCCAAUGGAGUUCUGUUUCUGGUGAAGCCUUUCUUCCUAGUCUGUAGAUAGCUGUCUUCCUUCUGUAUCCUCACACGGCCUUUCAUCUGGGUGCACAAGGAGACAGAGACAGAGAGACAGAGAAAGACAUCUCUUCCUCUUCUUAUAAGGCUAUCAGUCUCAGCUGAUUAAGGCUCCACCCUAAUGAUGUCAUUUAAUGUCAUUACUUCCGUAAGAUCCUAUCUCCAAAUACAGUCACAUGGAGUUAGGGCUUCAACAUAUUCAUUUCGGGGGCAUAAUUUAGUCCAUAGCCAACCAUAAAUAUGGAGAUUUACUGGCAUUGUCUUGAUUUCUUAAUGCAUUUUUUCUAAAAAAAAAAAAAAGCAAUUAUUUAAAUGUAUAAUUAAGUGUGAUUUGAUUUUUUUUUUUUUAUCUCACUGGAGUCUUAAGGGUAAAAUACUUCUGUAUCGUUGCUCGACUUUACUAGAGUUUUAUAUUUACAAAGUAUAUUUAGAUAUGUUAUAAAUCUGAAAAUGACCUUAGUUAUGUCAACCGCUAUUGGGUUCAGAAGAUUACCAUAGCUUUAUAAAGUGCUUUUAGAAAAACUGCAUGGGGAGCAAGAACCGUGAACAUCAUCUUGUAAAGCCAGAGAAAUGGAGCUAGGUGCCUCCUGAAGACUGUAAAGCUUGUGAACCUGAGGUCCAUGGAAAAUCACAGGCACAUAAGUGGCUGAGACACUUCAGCAAACUUGAUCAGCUCUCAGAGUCAUACUGAACUUUGCUUUCCUCAUUAAUUCAUCCACACUCCUUCUUUCUCCUACCCAGGUUCUUCCACAGUCCAGAAUUAAAUGUAAAACUCUACUGGGGAAUGCAUACAAGGUGUAACCCGAGCCUACAGCUGAAAAACUUCUUGUGCUGUGAAGCACUGGCACAACUUUGACCUUACAAAUUGAUCCAAUAAAUCUGAAUUUCUAAGUGAAUAGACAUUCUUAAGAAUUCAAUAGGUCACAAGAUACCCUUUUUUAGACGAAUAAAUAAAUAAAUAAAUAAAACACAGCCAUGAAGAGAAAGACAUCAACUCUAGACUAAAGUAAGUUAUUAAAUACUUGAAAUUGUUGGCAUGUUUAACAAUCAUCAGAUGGAUCAGAACAUUGAUAAAGAAUUAUAUGGGUUAUUUUAUAAAAUACAUCUUUAGGAGUUAUCUAAUCAACAAUUGUCGUUUAUUGAAUACCUGCUCAGAAUACAGUAUCAAAUAGUAAAAUGGCAUAAUUGCUUUGCUUUCUAAAUUGAAACAAGCUUUCAAUGUCACCUACAGGUACUUUAAACUAAUAUGAAAUAUACAUGCAUUGUCUCAUAAACAAAGGAUGUCAUAAUAAGGGCAAAAUAGUUAAAAUUUUAAAAUCAAAAUCGUAUGUAGUAAAUAUUUUAUUACAUUCAAAACUAUUAAGUCCCAUUGUAGUGAAAGCUGUCAAUUCACUGCUCAGAACAGAUCAGACAUGAGGGUGACGAGACACCAAAAGGAAAGGGAAGAGCUCUGAAUAAACGCUUGUCCUUGCUAAAGAGCCACUCAGGUCUCUCUUUGGGGUGCUGAAAUCCACCUGACCUCAGCAUACGGUUUCACUUAACUUCCACUUGUCUUUUGCCCCAGCCUGAGUGCCUCAGUGAGACAGUGGAGAGAAGUAACUCUUGGAAUUAGCUGUAGGUUGUAAAAUACUUUUGCUAAUAACAGUGUAGGUGAGCACCUGGUUCAGAGGGGGUUAAAUCAAGGGCAUGGAGCAUUCUUGCUUUGGGUGGCAGAAAUCUCAAAGGUGUUACUGAGCUCGGAUGUAAUGUAAACUGCUGAAAAGCAAUAAUUAAACUUACACCUUUAGCUUUGUUAGAUGAAUUAUCUAAAAGCUCCACCCCUCUCUCUGAAAAAAACAGAUUAAGUAGCAUAAGUCUGCUGUUGGCAACUGCAGUGAUUAUACAGGACAUGCUGUCUGGGAUUAUUUGGAUUAAGGACAAAUUGUAUGCAUGGAGUGUUCAACCACUGAGGAAAUAUUAUGAUUCUUUUAGGACAUGUUCAUUAUUACAUGAUAUAAACAUAUAUCAGAUAAAGCCAAAAUUCCACCAGAAAGGAAUCGAUUCGCAAUUCUUGGGUCUGUGCGUCCAAAAAAAAAGUGGCAAAAAAAUUAAAUGUGUUAUCUUUUAGAUCUUAAAAUAACACAAUUCUCUAUUAUAAAAUUUCCCCUAAUGCCAUUUAUAAGGAAAAUAUUGUCAUAUAGGCCAAGUGGAGGAAAAGUCAAGAUUUAUAUAGAUACUACAUUGAACUAUAUUGCAAAAAAGUCAAGAUUUUCAUAAUAGAAAGGCAACAAAACUCAGUAUAGCAACAGUUUCAGAAACCAAAGAAAGAGAGACCUCAUUUAAUCGAAGGAGAGAGAAGACUGAUGGCUAAAAACAGGCAGGUGUUAAAUUCUGCACCUUCUGUUGAGGUUAUGGAGAUUGCAAAGAACAAUCUGCGACCUGUGCUUUUCCAUUAAAUUGUGGCUACUAAGUGUGUAUGUAUGUUUGCGAACAUUUGAAGUCUUUUCAUUAGGUCUCUGAUUCAGCUCCUGCCUCCUUUCUCUCUACAGAUUUGUUUUUUAAUGUAGACUAUCAAAUUCUCUCUGGCAGACACCAUACAAAUAUUCUGCUGUGGUACGCACGUAUACUGAGUGUGCACUCCAUACACUAAACCUAGCUCUCGACGAGUGCCUUCUCUCUGGAAGUAAGGGUGCCCUCUACUAAUUGAUCUUUACUAGACAUCUAAAGAGUAAUCUUCCUGGGAGAAUUGAUUCUUCUCACCUAGGAGAGAUGAUUUUUCUGGGGAAGAGUUUGCUCUUUCUGUGCUGCUCUACUGACUUGCACUAACAGAAUUAUUUGAAGAAGCCCAAGGCAUCACCAGUCUUCAGUCACCUCAAAUUCUGCAGAUAAUACCACACAAUCACCUAGAGGCAUCUCAACUAAGUAAGCAUGACUGUCCCAAUUAGGCAAGAGUCCUCACUAUUAAAUAUUAUUAGACUUAAUUUGGUGCCCCGGGAAAAUUCUUGAUGAAGCCCGUCCCGCUAAGGACAGGGCAUUGUGAAUCCACAACAACAUGCUCAGAAAACACUUCUAUGGUAAUGUUCCUUAAGUCCCAAACAAUAUCAUGUGGUGAAGUGUUCAGUAGGUUUAUAGAAAUAUCAACCAUUACAGCUGGAAAUGCCAUCCCGUAUGACCCUGUCACUUUACAGAUGAGGAAAUAAAAGUCCAUGGUGGUGUGGUGGAUACAGUUAGGAGAAAUAAGACUAGAUUUUAGGCCUCCUGACUCUUCCAGCCCAGGGCUUUUUACACGAUACCAUCAUACAUCCUAAAAUAUGCCAGUGACUGAAAACACAUCUCUAAAGCUGUGAUCUCUCAAUGUAGGUGUGUUGGUGGUGAUGGAAUUAGAAUACUUAACUUGGCAUUUCUAACCAGUGUUUCACCUUGAGGAAAUCAAUGUGACUGCAUCUCAUUUUUAAUUGUAAAUUAGAGAUAAUUUUGCCUGUCGCAUGAAGUUGUGGUGAAAAUUUAAUAAAUAUUGCAUGACAAGGCAAAUAUAAUGUGAACAUGGAAUGAAAAUGUGCCUCUGGAAGCUUAUCUGUGACUUCUGGUUCCAGAUGGUGGGUCAAGUCCAUGUUUUGUUUUAUGCAACGGACAAGCAUAACAGCUCACCAUCGUUUUAAUUUUACUUUCUCUGAUUGUUAGUGGAAGGCAUCUUCUCUUCAUAUGCUUAUUAACCCUUUGUAUUUUUUUAUUUGUAUCUUUCAAUUAUUACUAUUUUCCUAUUUGGCUGUUUGUGGUUUUCUUGUUAUUUUGUCGUUCUUUAUCUCUUAGAAGUACUCUUUUUAUUAUACAUGAUGCAAGUAUUUUCUCCCAGGCUGUUGUUUGUCUUCUAUAUUUUUAAAUUAGAAGUGUCACAGCUGUCUGUGGGUUAUCAGAGAAGUCAUAGAGGGGAAAGAGCUGGUUUGUUAUUUCUGUGAGUUCUUAAUUUUUUAUACACAUCAGCUUGCCUUGAUUGUUGAGUUCUUACUAUAUACAGUACUAUAUGAAUCAAAUCUAAUAUGCAACUUCUUAGUGUAUGUCAUGUUGAAAUUUAAAAAAAAAAUUAAUAAAACUCUUUUCAGG